GGCGGCAUGCCUUACACAUGCAAGUCGAACGGCAGCACGGGUGCUUGCACCUGGUGGCGAGUGGCGAACGGGUGAGUAAUACAUCGGAACAUGUCCUGUAGUGGGGGAUAGCCCGGCGAAAGCCGGAUUAAUACCGCAUACGAUCUACGGAUGAAAGCGGGGGACCUUCGGGCCUCGCGCUAUAGGGUUGGCCGAUGGCUGAUUAGCUAGUUGGUGGGGUAAAGGCCUACCAAGGCGACGAUCAGUAGCUGGUCUGAGAGGACGACCAGCCACACUGGGACUGAGACACGGCCCAGACUCCUACGGGAGGCAGCAGCGGGGAAUUUUGGACAAUGGGCGAAAGCCUGAUCCAGCAAUGCCGCGUGUGUGAAGAAGGCCUUCGGGUUGUAAAGCACUUUUGUCCGGAAAGAAAUCCUUGGCUCUAAUACAGUCGGGGGAUGACGGUACCGGAAGAAUAAGCACCGGCUAACUACGUGCCAGCAGCCGCGGUAAUACGUAGGGUGCGAGCGUUAAUCGGAAUUACUGGGCGUAAAGCGUGCGCAGGCGGUUUGCUAAGACCGAUGUGAAAUCCCCGGGCUCAACCUGGGAACUGCAUUGGUGACUGGCAGGCUAGAGUAUGGCAGANGGGGGUAGAAUUCUACGUGUAGCAGUGAAAUGCGUAGAGAUGUGGAGGAAUACCGAUGGCGAAGGCAGCCCCCUGGGGCCAAUACUGACGCUCAUGCACGAAAGCGUGGGGGAGCAAACAGGAUUAGAUACCCUGGUAGUCCACGCCCUAAACGAUGUCAACUAGUUGUUGGGGAUUCAUUUCCUUAGUAACGUAGCNNCGCGUGAAGUUGACCGCCUGGGGAGUACGGUCGCAAGAUUAAAACUCAAAGGAAUUGACGGGG
rnacentral:rRNA from 1 species